UACGUAGGGUGCAAGCGUUAUCCGGAAUUAUUGGGCGUAAAGAGCUCGUAGGCGGUUUGUCGCGUCUGCCGUGAAAACCCGAGGCUCAACCUCGGGCCUGCAGUGGGUACGGGCAAGCUAGAGUGCGGUAGGGGAGAUUGGAAUUCCUGGUGUAGCGGUGGAAUGCGCAGAUAUCAGGAGGAACACCGAUGGCGAAGGCAGAUCUCUGGGCCGUAACUGACGCUGAGGAGCGAAAGCAUGGGGAGCGAACAGG
rnacentral:rRNA from 1 species